rnacentral:rRNA from 1 species
ACGAACGCUGGCGGCGUGCUUAACACAUGCAAGUCGAACGGAAAGGCCCUUCGGGGUACUCGAGUGGCGAACGGGUGAGUAACACGUGGGUGAUCUGCCCUGCACUUUGGGAUAAGCCUGGGAAACUGGGUCUAAUACCGAAUAUGACCAUGGCAUGCAUGUGCUGUGGUGGAAAGCUUUUGCGGUGUGGGAUGGGCCCGCGGCCUAUCAGCUUGUUGGUGAGGUUACGGCUCACCAAGGCGACGACGGGUAGCCG